GUCUUCAUGGUGUAAUGGUCAGAACGCUUGGCGCGUAUUCGAGAGGUCUGAGGUUCGAAUCCCGGCGAGGACA
rnacentral:tRNA from 1 species